rnacentral:rRNA from 1 species
GCAUAUCAAUAAGCGGAGGAAAAGAAAAUAACAAUGAUUCCCUCAGUAACGGCGAGCGAAGAGGGAUAAGCUCAAAUUUUAAAUCUGUUGGGUUUCACCUAACAGAGUUGUAUUUUGAAGAAACGUCUUCUGCGUCCAGGAUUAGCCUAAAUCCUUUGGGAUAAGGUAUCAUGGAGGGUGAGAAUCCCGUUCAUGGUUAAUCUUAAGGAUGCUCUACGAUACGUUCUCCAAGAGUCGAGUUGUUUGGGAUUGCAGCUCAAAAUGGGAGGUAAAUUUCUCCUAAGGCUAAAUAUUGGCGAGAGACCGAUAGCGAACAAGUACCGUGAGGGAAAGAUGAAAAGAACUUUGAAAAGAGAGUUAAACAGUACGUGAAAUUGUUGAAAGGGAAACGAUUGAAGUCAGUCAUACUAACGGGAAAUCAACCUCUUGAGUUUGGUCUCGUGGGUUUCGAAGAGUUUAAAAGCCUUCGGAUUUUCGAGAUUGGGCUCUUCUGGUGUACUUUCUCGUACGGUUAGUCAACAUCGGUUUUGAAUGUCAUAAAAUGACUGGAGGAAUGUGGCUUCGAUCUCGUAUUGAAGUGUUAUAACCUUUGGUAGAUGUGAUGUUUGAGACCGAGGAUUGCAACGGAUACCCUUCUGGGCUAUUCGUCUGAUCUCUGAAACGUUGCCUUGAUGUCGAAAGCUUGCUUAUGAUGUUAGGGUAUUACGGUCAAAAGGUUAGAACGGAUUAAAUUCGUUAAGGAUGUUGACGUAAUGGCUUUAAACGAC